UUAGAAAACACAAAUGCUUUCAAAAUUUCCCUCACUCAUUUCAUUCCUAACUCAAUUGCCUUAGUUGAACAAAAGCAGAAAAGUUAGCAUAUUACUGCUGUUUUACCAUUUACCUGCUACUCAUUAAAUACCAUAAUACAAAUUUUAAAUGUGCAUUUAUUUUUUAUUUUGCCCUUUUAUUUUUCUAUAUCUCUUUUCCUCCCUAGGAAAUUUUUUUAAAAUUGAAAGAGGAAAUGCAUACGGAUUUGCUUCUAAGAUAUAUUAAUGUUGGAAAAUUUAACCAGGACAGCUUGGGAGUCUUAAAUCAGACUGAUUUUCAAAAAUAGAAAUAUGGUAAGGGGACUGCAUUGUAAUUCUGCUUUUCAGUUUUUCUAUGAGAGUUUUUUUGUGAGAAAUCAGGAGAUAUACUGUAUGUAAAAAUAAUCCUCCUGGCAUUCUUUAUAAAGAUUUUGUCUGUUUAUUUUGAAAACAGCCAUUGGUUCCAGAUUCCCAGAACUGAUUUUCUUAGAUUAGCUAUUUGUACUCAGAGGUAGAGCCUUGAGCAGUAUUAUUCUUCAAUUAAAAUCAAGAAUUUGACUUUAGGAGGAAGCAUGCUAUGUUUAUAUAGCAUCAGCAGUGCAUAGAAAAUAUUCACCACACAUAUCUGAAGACAGACAAGGCUUCAAUUGUUUAAAUGUUCUUUUCACUUCAUAGAUACUAAGACACAUUGACCUAUCUAGCUUAAUUUUCUUUAAGCUUGUUACCUACUUUAAUACUAAUGGCAUCUUAGAUACAGAGCUAAUGCUUCUUCCUUGUAACCACUGCCUUGACUUAGAGGUUAAAUUUCCUUUUGAAAGGUGUUGCAGACUAUGCCACCUCACUCUCAAAAUGUGCAUUUUCUGUAGAAACUCUGAAAGCUGCUGCUCUCUUCCACCAACCACACCAGCCCCCACCACUACCACACAAACAAAAAGCUGCAAAACUUAAGGGAACAUUACUAUACACUAAUGCUUAUAGUUUAAAUAUCUGUUUGAGAGGCAACUAAAGAUGUCACAGCUAUGUGGUUUUGAUUUUUUGUUUGUUUGUUUGUUUGUUUCACAGUCCCAUUGCCUUUCCCUGGUAUUUAGAUCAUUUGGAUAACUGGCAAGUCAAAUUAGAACUGAAGUGCUGCAAAGCAGCCAAAGCCAUGUCUUGUGGGUAGUGGUGGGGGCAGAGAAGAGAGUAUCUGAGUUUGUAAAAAUAUUUAAUAUAAAGUUAAAAAACAUCUAGAAAGUUGGUUUUACAGGCUUGCUAGUUGCAUGCUGCAGAUUUUGUAUCAGGGAUGCCAACUGACCAUCUCUAUGAAAGGUUAAAGAAUAUUUCACAGUUUUUUUUUUUUUUUUGAAGACUCUUAUGACAGUUUAACAGCUGGUAUCGGUAAAAACAUGUAGUCUAGGACUGUUUUUUUCCUUUAAGAUGCCAAAUACAUAUCAACUCGGAUUCUGAACCCCCCCCCCCAAAAAAAACCUAUGUAUCUAUUAUAAAUAAGCCAUGGCAUUUAAAAAGUUAUAAUCAAUUUUAAAUCCUAUAUUAAAAUAAAUAAUAUAGCAAAUUAAAUUUGCCUUGUGUUAAUCCAUCAAUGCUUCUAUUUGGACCUGCCUAUCUAUGUCAGUUCCAUAAAAGAUUUAUUUUCUAAGCUAGGGAGGGUGGGAAGGACAGGAGACCAGAUGGAGGGAGCUGGUAUACAUUUCCUUGCCUCUUUAUUAUAGUAAUACAGGGCCAGAAUCUAUCUUUCUACUUAUCUGUCUUUUUAAUGACAACUACUAAUGACAGUGAGAAAGGCAGAGCAGCCAAUAUCACCUAAUAGUAUUUUAAUUACAAUUAGGUAGCCUCAGGUGCUUAAGUGAGUGUUAAAUCUGAAGUUAACUCUUUUCCCUUUCAAAGAUAAGAUUGCUUGGGUUGGGUUUUUAGUUUUCGGUUUUUGUUAGUUUUUCCUUCUGCAUUUUCCUGUUUGGGGGGGGGCGGGUUGGGGGAAGAAUGUGAUUUUAAGAACAUUUUAAUGUUAUGGAAAGGGAAAACAGUGAGCACUUUCUCAAAAAAGGGGCGGUAGAGUGGGGAAAGACUCCCGGGUAGGAAAGCUAAAUUGGAGAACAAACCUUAUGGGGGAUUUGCUCUACCUGCUGCGAAAUGGGGUCUCAGCUGUCCAUUAACAAGUUAAAAGGAGAGAAGCCAAAGCUCAGAGGAGGAAGAGACUGGCGUCCUCGCGCCUCAAGCAGUCUCUUUCUCUUUGUUUUUAAAUGCUACUGCAGUGUUGUUCCUCGCUGUCUGAAAGGACCACAGCGCUUAAAAUACUGAUUGCCAUCCUCAGUGGGAGAACAGGUUUCCCAUUUCAUCAGUUGGAACGAAGUUUUGUGUGUAUACUCGGUUUAAAACACUAGAGAAAAUGCAGACUUUCCAGGGCAGCACUUUUUCACGGUAGACGUUGAGCCAACAAUUUGCCCACAAUUUUGGCUUUUCGGUCCUGGCUGACUUACCCAAAUCUUUAAAGAAUCUUCCUGGUGGAGCUAUUGGAUUCAAUGGGGGGAGGGGGAGGGGUCGUCACUAUGACCCUGAGUGGGCUCACAAGUUUCCACCUAAGGUCGCGGAGCAUACCUGGGGCACCCUUGGUGUGAACGGCCCCUGGGAGCGAAGUGGGCACACUAGUUCCGCUGGCUUCGGGCGGCUAGAGAAGGUAAUAUGGAUUAGUUGUUAGUUUUAUACUCCUGGGAAAAGCUCAGAAAAAGGAAAAAUACUGCAGAAAAAGCACUUGGGUCACCAGCGACUCUCCUCACCUUAACCCUGACACACCUGUUCCUGUCAAUGCCACUGACCCCACCAAAGAAGGGCAGAGCGUGCGCCGCGACAGCCCAGCUCGAAGCGCGCUGCGGGCCUUGGCCGGCUCCUUCCUGCUGGGCCCCAGGGCAGUGCGAGGGGAGGAGGCUGCCGCUCGCCCCAGGGACACCGGCCGGGGGAAAACGCCCGAACAGGCCCGGCCGAGGAAGCUGCACCCCCCGCCCCCGCCCCCACUCUCCGGCACUGCCCAAGACUCUAGAAACCAGGGCCGACGUCCUUGGCUGUUGACCUUCCAAAGAUAAGCAGGGGAAAGGGAGCCCUCUCUAGCGGGUAACCCUUCGCCGAAUGCACGGGUGAGGAGCCCAGGUUCGAGAACCAAGGCCCGGGCCGCAGGAAGCAAAGGAAACGGGCCAUACCUGAAGCGAGAAGGGCGGCGGGGCCUAGGCCGCCUCCCGACCAGGCUCUGGGGCCUGAGCCGGCUGCCCUGGGCUCAAAGCGCAGCGUCUGUGAACCGGGGAGCGCUCCCACCUGCUGCCGGGGGUGGCCGGGACCCUUCAUUCCGCCGCCACAGGGCUGGAUCCAACCCCGCGGUCGUGCGUCGGCACGGCUCAUGCCACAGCCUCCACGCUCUGGAUCUUCGAGGCCAGCCUGGCAGCCUCUGCUCUCAGCGGCUCUGCGGGCUGAGCCACCCGGCCCUGCGACUGGAACUGCGCUGUGAUGCGGCUCCCGGGAAGCGCGCAAUUCUCUGUGAAGCUGUGAAGCGGCUCCGCGACAGCGGCGGCGGGCGGAGAGCAGCGGGUCCCAGAAUCCCCGCACCUUGGGAGAGCGGAGUGACAAGAGCAGCCUCCGGAGACUGUGGGUAGCAGGAGAAGCUCCCCCGGUUUUCUGCAGUCGGAGACACGCGGAACCGAAGCCUCUGGCUCCCCAACCUGGAGUUCUGCUCGCAGACUUGCACCAAAUACCUCCAGGCCGGGGAGGCAGUAGGCGUGAAGUCCCCUUUAGUCGUAGCCACCGCUGCAGCUGCCGCCGCCGCGGCGGCGGAGCAGGGGAAGGGCCGCCCCGCGCGCGGUCAGUGCCAGGUGCUGGACUGGCCCUCGGGGUGCGGGGGAGAGCGGCGGGACAAGGGUCCCUGCUUAGCAAACUCAGGGUUUGCCCAUAAGCGCCGAUGCCGCUGCAUCUUCCUGGAAGCUUCCUCUUCAUCUCGCGGUCAAGACCAAGCUGUCCUUGCCUGGAGAAUAGUUCAAGAUCGGCGGCGCUCAGCCCCAGCGGCGCCUUUCUCCCUGCCUGCACUUGUGGGGCUUGGGGGCUCUUGAGUGCCUACCUGCUGAGCCAAGUUCAGGAACCGCCGGCCAAUCCCCUUGGCCUCUUGAGUAUUUAGAAAGCUUCGUUCUCAGCCAAGAGGUCAAGGCGAACAGGCAGUGAGAACCUGAACGAUCCUGUGUUCAGAUUUUAAAAGUCAAAAAUUUAAAAAUCGCCCUAGUGUAUUAUUUUUGUUUUCAUUUUACUUGGUCAAAUUGCGUAAGGUUUUACCCUACAAACUAUUUAUAAGCCGUUUUUUCAUUAUUUUUGGCUCUUGUUAUGAAACCUGUAAAAGAGAAAUCGAAAAGUGGCUUUUGGUUCAGUUAACUGCGACGCUGAGAAGGUAAAUAGAAGGUCCCUUAACAGCUGGUC
rnacentral:lncRNA from 1 species